rnacentral:rRNA from 1 species
ACUCCUACGGGAGGCAGCAGUGGGGGAAUAUUGCACAAUGGGCGCAAGCCUGAUGCAGCAACGCCGCGUGAGCGAUGAAGGCCUCGGUCGUAAAGCUCUGUCCUCAAGAAGAAUAAAUAGACGGUACUUGUAGGAGGAAGGCCCGGGCCGUAACCUACGUGCCAGCAGCCGCGGUAAUACGUAGGGGCGAAGCGUUAUCCGGAAUCACUGGCGUAAGGGUGCGUAGGCGGUUUUCUAAGUCAGAAGUGAAAGGCUAUGGCUCAACCAUAGUAAGCUUUUGAAACUGUUAAACUUGAGUUGCAGGAGAGGAAAGUGGAAUUCCUAGUGUAGAGGUGAAA